rnacentral:antisense_RNA from 1 species
CACAGACAUCAAUGAUUCAUUUUGCGAACCGGCCCCUACCGCCAGAUAAGCGUUCAUGCCCAGCUCUUUCAUCUGCUGUUCGCCAAUCACUCGCGUGGUGAUACGGCUACUGAAGGCAUCCGCCAACUGGCGUGCCUGAGAAGCCAGAUAACCGGCAUUACAAAUAUUCGGCGGCAUAUUGCCAAGAUCUUUCGC